UUCUCACAGUUUCUCGGUAGCAUCCAACUUGAGUUUCUCUUUCACGUUGUUUCAUUUUCGUUUUUGUUCUUUGAACCGCUUCCAAUGGUGGUACUAAUUCACCAUCAUUGACGCUCGUUCUUUUUUGUUUAUUUUAUUUUAUAACUAGGGAACUCUAGUCACGGCUUCAGUUCAGCACCUGGUUGGAACAACUCUCCUCUUCUCUGGCAACACAUUGAAAGACCAGAAACUUCAAUAGCAUACCAUAUCAAGCUAUUAUUCAAGUACAUCAGCAUAAAGCUAAAGAAGAAGCUAUAAUCAAUGACCUAGAAAGGUAAAAAAAAUAUAAUGAGCAGAAGAUAAAUAUAAUAUGAGAAUUGCCUAAGUCAACCACAGUCCAUAAUGUGACACAAAAAUGAAUUGGCAGAAGAUCCUAAGGUUGACAUUAUGGACAUGAGAGCAAGGUUCAUCAAGGGAAAGUUUCAUCAGAAAAAAUGUAAGUAAAGCAUGUCAAUGCUAACAGGUAUCAAAAUCUAAGAAAGAAAACGUAGCUGAAGUUCAAAAUGAAAUGUCCACAAUGAAUAUGUUAAAAACUUAAAUUAUCAACUUUAAUUAUGCAAGGUCCAAAUUAAAGAUAAAGGAGGGUUUUGGAGAGAAGAGAAACGGACAAAAUAGAUAAAUUUUGAAUUUGGAUCAUUUAUCAAAGCCCUCGAAAACCCUCUGUUAGACUCUUCAGUUACAAAACUGAUAUUAAAUUAUUAGGAGUUAAGUGGGACAUUAUUAGAAUAAUUAUACUAUUAAUUAAUAGUGUUUAGGUUUAGAAUAAAUAGGGGAAGACAUUGGGGUGUUGAUUAUCUUGGAAUUGGAUAGGAAAAGGGGUCAUUUUGGCAUUGGGAGGUGCAGGCCCUCGAAGUUCUGCUGUACAAUUGUGUAAUUCAAAGGGAUUUUCCCUAUAUGCUUUUAUAUAUCAGUUGGUUUCUAUCAACUGGUAUCAGAGCACUUCUGAUCCGGGAGAGGAAAUUAAAAAAAAAUGGAGUUGUCAUCAAGAAUAGAAGGAAUAUUUGAUCUUGUUAAUGAAGUGUUGAAAGAAGUUAGAGAUUGGAGAAGAGAACUCAAAGAGUUACGACUAGAAAUACCAACUUUUGAAGGACCCGAUGUUGCUGGAUGGAUUAUCAAGGUAGAGAAAUAUUUUAAUAAAGGAGGUGUAUGAAGCUGUCACAUGGUACCAAUUAUGGAUUUUGGUCAAUCUAAGUUCCACUUGGGGAAAUUUUAAAGAGGCGAUUCUCAAGAAAUUUUGGUCAGAAUUUGAUUUAGCAUAGAAUCGAGCAACGCAAAUGAGAGAAAUGAGAUUCAGCGAUGAACCAAAUAAACGGCCACCGCCACAAUGAUUUGGCCAACAGCCGCUGUUGCUGAAACCUCGAAACGUCGAGUAUCACAUGGUGAUUGUUGUUGUUCCUAAGAUAAAGUCUAGGAAAGAGAAAGCUCCACUAUUGGUGUCACCGUCAUCCCUACAAACGAUCAUGAGAAAAUUGACCGCAGUGAGCAGAUCUGAUCCAGGAGAAAAUUAUCCUAUUUCUUGUAUAACUCAAUCUUUUUGCUUCAAGUUAUGGGAUCCGGGAGGAUACAUUCUUUCACCUUGAGGACAAGGUGGAGAUGACACUUCAAUUAGGGAUAUGUCUGCUUGCUACAGGCUUGGUUUGAGGCAUGAACUUUUGGAACAAGUGUUGUUUAAAGAUGUUCUCGGUCCGAGUAAUAGUUUUGUUGAGCUUUCUGCUCAGGCAGGGGCUCCUUUAGCGUAUUCGAAUUCAAGAUAUAGUUUUUUUGGAGAACCAAAUUGUUUCUGGUGUGUCGAGCUCGCAGUUCGACCAAAGCUAUGUGUUACUUGGUCAUCACAAUAUGUAUCAUCAACAUCCAUAUAGCAAUUUCAUUCAUGACAAUUACCAAGAUCCUCUAGGUAAAGGCAUUAAAUUUUGGUUUGGUUCCAGGAUAUACAUUUAGUGUUUUGACAGAUGAUUUUGAACACUUUACUUGUUAAGAGUUGAAAGGUCAAAAUUCUGCACUUUAACUUGCGUUUGGGAGUAAAAUCCUAAAUUCAUUUCCAAUUGCUAUGUAGGCACAAUAUCCACUAUUAUACUCAAAAAAAAAAAUAGUUCUAUAUAUUAUGUGAAACCAUGUGGUUCUAACUCUGGCGUUACGAUGUCAUGCAUCAUGCAUUACAUGGCUUAUUAUGGCUAGACCAAUUCUCAGGUUGCCAUGCCUCUAGAAAAUGUCAUCACAGCAAAAGGCAUGCCAUGUUAUUGAUCUUAAUGAAAUACCCCAAAUAAAACCGAAAAUAAGGAAGAACCACCCCAAGGUGAUAAAAGAAUGACAGCCGAAAAACCAGGAAGUCGGCCACUCCAAAGUCAUAUCAAUCAAAAGAAAACUCAACUCAAAAGAAGAAGUAUGUGAGAAAGAAAUACUUAAACACAACUCCAACAUAAGUGACAUGGGAAUGCACUAAACAAUUAAUACAUGAUGAGUCUGGCGGCCAAAAGGAUGUGUAGAAGGUCCUUAUACUUUGACAUACCAGAACUACCAAGAGAUGGAAUUUUGCAUGCAUAGAAGAAAAUACAACUACGCGUUUUGGUGGAGAAACUGGCAUAGAGGUCCAGGAAACACAAGCUCUAAAUAUUAAGUGCUCUAAUAGUUGUAGGAUUUGUAAUUUGUAAUAUUUGUGAAAAAUAUUGAGUGCUUGUGGAAAGAAAUACAUUACGGUUGUAUCUUAUUGAAAUUAUAGGUUAAUGUUUUAUAUUCUUUUGUA